CCCUAGUAACUGCGAGUGAAGCGGGAAAAGCUCAAAUUUAAAAUCUGGCGGUCUUCGAUCGUCCGAGUUGUAGUCUGGAGAAGCGUCUUCCGCGCUGGACCGUGUACAAGUCUCUUGGAACAGAGCGUCGUAGAGGGUGAGAAUCCCGUCUUUGACACGGACUACCAGUGCUUUGUGAUGCGCUCUCAAAGAGUCGAGUUGUUUGGGAAUGCAGCUCAAAAUGGGUGGUAAAUUCCAUCUAAAGCUAAAUAUUGGCGAGAGACCGAUAGCGAACAAGUACCGUGAGGGAAAGAUGAAAAGCACUUUGGAAAGAGAGUUAAACAGUACGUGAAAUUGCUGAAAGGGAAACGAUUGAAGUCAGUCGCGUCGUCUAGAACUCAACCUUGCCUCGGCUCGGUGCAUUUUCUAGUUGACGGGCCAGCAUCAGUUUCGACCGUUGGAAAAAGGUCCUUGGAAUGUGGCACCUUCGGGUGUGUUAUAGCCUUGGGUCGUAUACGACGGUUGGGACUGAGGACCGCAGCACGCCUUUAUGGCCGGGGUUCGCCCACGUACGUGCUUAGGAUGCUGGCGUAAUGGCUUUAAACGACCCGUCUUGAAACACGGACCAAGGAGUCUAACAUGCCUGCGAGUGUUUGGGUGGUAAACCCGAGCGCGUAACGAAAGUGAAAGUUGGGAUCCCUGUCGUGGGGAGCACCGACGCCCACACCAGACCUUCUGUGACGGAUGUGCGGUUGAGCAUGUAUGUUGGGACCCGAAAGAUGGUGAACUAUGCCUGAAUAGGGUGAAGCCAGAGGAAACUCUGGUGGAGGCUCGUAGCGAUUCUGACGUGCAAAUCGAUCGUCAAAUUUGGGUAUAGGGGGCGAAAGACUAAUCGAACC
rnacentral:rRNA from 1 species